rnacentral:tRNA from 1 species
GCCUAGUUAGCUUAGUUGGUAGUGCGUCUGCCUUGUAAGCGCUAGGCCGCGGGUUCGAUUCCCACCCUGGGCG